rnacentral:rRNA from 1 species
CAAUAGCGUAUAUUUAAGUUGUUGCAGUUAAAAAGCUCGUAGUCGGAUUUUGGCUGAGAACGAUCGGUCCGCCGUUAGGUGUGCACUGAUUGGUCUCAGCUUCCUGGUGAGGAGGUGUGCUUCACGGCCACUUAGUCACCGUGGUUACUUUGAAAAAAUUAGAGUGUUCAAAGCGGGCUUACGCUUGAAUAUAUUAGCAUGGAAUAACACCAUAGGACUCCUGUCCUAUUUCGUUGGUCACGGGACGGGAGUAAUGGUUAAGAGGAACAGUUGGGGGCAUUCGUAUUUCAUUGUCAGAGGUGAAAUUCUUGGAUUUAUGAAAGACGAACUUCUGCGAAAGCAUUUGCCAAGGAUGUUUUCAUUGA